rnacentral:rRNA from 1 species
UACGCACGCUGGCGGCGUGCUUAACACAUGCAAGUCGAACGGAAAGGCCCUGCUUUUGUGGGGUGCUCGAGUGGCGAACGGGUGAGUAACACGUGAGUAACCUGCCCUUGACUUUGGGAUAACUUCAGGAAACUGGGGCUAAUACCGGAUAGGAGCUCCUGCUGCAUGGUGGGGGUUGGAAAGUUUCGGCGGUUGGGGAUGGACUCGCGGCUUAUCAGCUUGUUGGUGGGGUAGUGGCUUACCAAGGCUUUGACGGGUAGCCGGCCUGAGAGGGUGACCGGCGAAGAUAGAGCGAGGUUACAGCCACGAGACGGAGGGCAGGUAUCUGUGUGAAAAAGUGCACAAUGGGCGGAAGACGGGAGAACGCACGAAUGGUGGGGGUUGCGGGCACGCGGGUGGACAACUGCUAUCGUGCGAGACGAGGAGUGAGUGGCUGUAUAGAGUAAAAAAUCGCCAGUUAACAACGGUACAGAAGUGGCGAAAUAGUAGGAAGAGCAUAGGUUGAUG